rnacentral:rRNA from 1 species
UACGUAGGGGGCUAGCGUUGUCCGGAAUCAUUGGGCGUAAAGCGCGCGUAGGCGGCCCGGUAAGUCCGCUGUAAAAGUCCAGGGCUCAACCCUGGAAAGCCGGUGGAUACUGUCGGGCUUGAGUCCGGAAGAGGCGAGUGGAAUUCCUGGUGUAGCGGUGGAAUGCGCAGAUAUCAGGAGGAACACCAAUGGCGAAGGCAGCUCGCUGGGACGGUACUGACGCUAAGGCGCGAAAGCGUGGGGAGCAAACAGG